rnacentral:rRNA from 2 species
GGGCUGGGAUAGAUGAUAGAUUACUGGGGGAUCGUCUGAACAAGGCCUGCGCUUAAUUGCGCGGCCAGUUCUUGAUUCUCUGCUAUCAGUUUUCUAUUUCUCAUCCUAAACACAAUGGAGUUUUUUCUCUAUGAACUACUUCCCUGGAGAGCUCGUCUCUCCAGUGGACAUAAACACAAACAAUAUUUUGUAUUAUGAAAAACUAUUAUACUAUAAAAUUUAAUAUUCAAAACUUUCAACAACGGAUCUCUUGGUUCUCGCAUCGAUGAAGAACGCAGCGAAUUGCGAUAUGUAUUGUGAAUUGCAGAUUUUCGUGAAUCAUCAAAUCUUUGAACGCACAUUGCGCCCUCUGGUAUUCCAGGGGGCAUGCCUGUUUGAGCGUCAUUUCUCUCUCAAACCUUUGGGUUUGGUAGUGAGUGAUACUCGUCUCGGGUUAACUUGAAAGUGGCUAGCCGUUGCCAUCUGCGUGAGCAGGGCUGCGUGUCAAGUCUAUGGACUCGACUCUUGCACAUCUACGUCUUAGGUUUGCGCCAAUUCGUGGUAAGCUUGGGUCAUAGAGACUCAUAGGUGUUAUAAAGACUCGCUGGUGUUUGUCUCCUUGAGGCAUACGGCUUUAACCAAAACUCUCAAAGUUUGACCUCAAAUCAGGUAGGAGUACCCGCUGAACUUAAGCAUAUCAAUAAGCCGGAGGAAG